rnacentral:hammerhead_ribozyme from 1 species
GCACUGCUGAGGAGUCCCAUACUAGGGCGAAACAGUCGUCCAGUGC